GCCGCCCAGGGCGGCUGUGCGGCCGGGGGUGUGUGGGGCCCGUGGGGCGCUCUCUGCCCGCUCUCUGCCGGCCGUGGCAGCCAUAUGUGAAAGGGAACGACCCACUGCCUGGCCUGGCCUCAAUGGUUUCCCAAAGCUUGCCGAGCAAGCGCAGCCCUCUCCGGGAGAACAAAAGCAGCUUUAAUAUUCAUUGGAGUGCCGCUUCGGGAGAUAAAGUCUGAUUAUUCCAAAGCCUGUUUAAAUAACAGAACUGUUCCCCGUUGUUAGGGCUGUUUCCUGUUGUCAGGAUCUGCGGCAUAAUUUUAGCCCUUAAUUAAAAUUCUAGCACGGAUUUUGGCAGCUAGAAAUAGAACAGUGCAAUUAGGAAUGCUCCAAAUAUAGCACCAGCUUUUUUUUUCUUUUUUUUCCCCCCACACUAUACUUUCAGUGGGAACAGCUUCAUCUUUUUACUUCAUAGAAUCACAGAAUGUUAAGGGGUUGGAAUGGGCCUUACAGAUCAUCCAGUUCCAACCUCCCUGCCAUGGGCAGGGACACCUCCCACCACACCAGGUUGCUGAGGGCCCCAUCCAGCCUGGCUUUGAACACUUCGAGGGUUGGGGCAUCUGCAACCUCCUUAGGCAACCUGUUCCAGUCUUGUCACCCUCACAGUAAAAAAUUUCUUCGUAAUAUCUUAGCUGAUUUUCCCCCUUUUCAAUUUAUAUCCAUUAUUCCGUGUCCUAUCACUACAGUUCCUGACAAAGAGUCUCUCCCUGGCUUCCCUGUAGGCCCUGGAAAGGUCCUAUGAUGUCUUCACACAACCCUCUCUUCUCCAGGCUGAACAGCCCCAACUUCCUCAGUCUGUGUCAUGAUACUCAGAGAAAUGAGUAAGACAGGGUGUACUGGAUUGGGAGCCAUUGAAGGGACACAGGUGAUGCCAGCUGAAAGUCACCAGCUGACGGGAACAGCUCUAAGGUUCCUCUUACUCCUGUCAGCACUUCCUCUGCUGGAAGCGGAAUUCAUGUCAACCUGCAAAACCAUUAAAGAAGCAAAUUGUCCUUCCGUUGUUCUUACCAAUAAAAAAGAACCAAACCUGAAAAGGCAUCAGCUUUUUUUAUUUAAAAAGCACUGUAAAUUUCCCCCCCCCCUUUUUUUUUUUAGCUUGUCUCUUGACAAAGUUUGGCUUUUUUCAGGGAUAAGGAGUUAAGAUUCCUAGAAGAAGCUAAUGGGACUAAAUUUUUUUCAUUGGCUCUUGUAUAGGUUUCUUAGCAGAGACAGCACACGAUAUGAAGUGGCAAUGCAAAGUAAUUUUAAACAAAGUGAUUAAGAACAUUCAGCACGUAAAAUAUCCAGUAUGUGCCCUGUCUGUACAAAGCUUGAGUGCUGCUACACUUAUGGUAGUUUAUAACAAAUGCUAUCCAGAUGAAGCAUCUUUCGGGAAACUCAAUUUCUUUAUAUUCUAUAUAUGUGCAGCAGAGUUUCAAAAAUUAAAGGAUAGAAGUUUCUUGAGCUAACAUGGUUAAAGCAGUCAGUAAACCCCAUAGAGGUAAUGGAAGAAAGUCAAUGCUUAUCUCCAUUAUUACACAGAAUCAUAGAUUCAUAGAAUGCUGAGGGUAGGAAGGGAUGUUAAAGAUCAUCUAGUCCCAACCCCGGCCAUGGGCUGCAACACCUCACACUAGAUGAGGUUGCUCAAGGACUUAUCCAGCUUGGCCUUUAACACCACCAGGGAUGGGGCAUCCACAACUUCUCAGGGCAACUUUUUCCAGUGCCUCACCAUCCUCACAGUAAACAAUUUUUUUGUAAUACCUAAGCUAAAUUCUCUCUCUUUCAAUUUGUACCCAUUACUCCUUGUCCUAUCAUUACAGUUCCUGAUGAAGAGUUCCUGUAGGCCCCCUUCAAAUACUGGAAAGUUGCUAUGAGGUCUCCAUGCAACCUUCUCCAGGCUGAACAGCCCCAACUUUCUCAGCCUGUCUUUGUAGGGGAGCUGCUCUAGUGCCCUUAUCAACUUUGUGACUCUCAUCUGGACUUGCUCCAACAGUUCCAUGUCCUUCUUAUGUUGGAGAUACCAGAACUGUAGGCAGUACUCCAGGUGGGGUCUCACAAGAGCAGAGCAGAGGGAGAGAAUCCCUUGCCCUGCUGGCCACACUGCUUUUGAUGCACUCCAGAACACGGUUGGCUUUCUGGGCUGUGAGUGGUCAUUGCUGGCUCAUGUUGACUUUUUCAUCAGCCAUCACCUCCAAGUCCUUCUCUGAAGGGAGAAAGUCUUAACAUUACUUUAUCAUUACAGCCUUGACAUUUUGAGGGCAGGUCGGAGGGGGAAGACUGUUAACAGGCUUCUGUGAUAUUCUUGCAUCUAUAACCACACGAGCAAGCAUAUUAGUUUUGGGUAAGUCAUGAGCAGUUACAGUUUUAUUCACCAUGGAUUUAAUUCCAAGACCUCAUCUAGUCACAAUAAUUUCAAAGAGAUCAGACAGGAGAAAAUUUUGUUGUCCCUAUGAAAUUUAUAUCAACAGAAAAAGAAAGUAAUAUUAAUUCAUAGAUUCUUGACAUUCAUUGUCCUCAUACAGAGAUACACAGCGACUAAAGUGAGCAUUGCCCCUUCCUGACAGCGCUACCACUUCCUCACUGCAUAUUUUAUUUUCUUGUUUUAUUAUUGUUCUCAGGAAAUCCACAUAGAAUCCAAUAACAUACUUCUACUCACCAUUUUAAGUCAUUUGAAGCAUUUUUCCAAGUUUUUGUUGUUAAACAAGGCCCCCUGCCCCCUUAAGGCCUGGAAACGGCACAGCAGUGCCGGCAUCGCCACCUGGCAACAUCACCGGAACAGGAAGUGGAUCCCCAGGGAUUAGCACAGACGGAGUACUGGGACAAGAGCAUUAGGCGAGGCAUCUGAUGUCAGCGUGUUAAUUAAAGUGGGAAUGUAAGCCAUGGGAAAGGUGAGAGAACAGAAGUCAUAAAACCUUCUUAUUUGCAACAUAUGGGCAUCAUUAAGAAAAGGUUGAAAGGUAAUCAAAGAAGCUAUAAUGACAAUAAAUUGUGUUUAUCUUGUAAUAAACAUUUAGAUGUCAAUUUCUCCUGUAUCAUUCUUUCAUUCGGAUUUCCAGUCUCUUCUCUAUUGUUCCCAGUUCUUCAUCUAUCCUUCAGAUUUGUCACAAGCCCUGUAUUCUCUGAAAUUUCACCUGGAGCUUUCUGUUCACAUUUUUUAUAACCUCAUCUCCUUGCUCCCAGCUAUUGGCCGUGUAAGAGAUAAUCCAUGUUUCUCAGCUCUCUAUGCUGGUUCCCCAGUACUGGCCCGAAUGCCAGAGUAGGACAAUACCUUCCUUGAAGUAUCCAAAAUUGGACACAGCUGGGGCAGACAUCUUGAAGGAGAGCUGAAGAAUUGCUAAAUAUUUUUUAGGUGAUAACAUAGGCUAUAAAUUGCAGUAAGGGUUUCCCUUUUUUACAGCAGCAUAACAUUUCUCACUUCUAUUCAUCUUAUGAUCUAUUUAACAUCCAAAUCUGUUUCUGACAUGCAAUUAUUUAGCUUGUUCUUCCUCACCUUAUUUUUCUGCAGUUCAUUAUUCUUGCCUAAGUGUGUGACCUGUUUGUUUUUACUGAGUUGCAUCCUCUCAAUGCCUCUUGAUGUUGUUCUACAAUAUAUACCUGUUAUGUUUGAUUGGCAAAAAUACCUACCCACAGUAACUGUGAAUAAAUCAACAUGUUUGUUUAUUCAAAAAGAAGUUGCUCUCUUAUCUAGAGAAAUCUAACAAAUAAAAUUUUCACAUCUUUUCUAUUGAAUCAGAUUAUCCUUUUUUAUCUAGAUUAUUUUUUGAAGAGGAGAAUACCCUGCUGCCUCAUUUAAAAAAAUAGAGAAUUUAGAAGUCAUUAUUUGAAAAUAAAGAUUAAAGCAAUGUAGAUUUUGGCAUUGUAGUCUCACAGAAGGAGGAUGUGAAGCAUUCUCAGUUAUGAUAUCCAUAUUUGUACCUAGUACCAUGCCAGGCUAUGAAUAGAUAUUAUAGGAAUCCUGUUCAUGUGCUCUGUGAAUUUCCAUGUAUUUGUUUCAUUUUUUAUUUGUUGUCUUUUCAGAAUAUAAAAUAAAUAUGUAGAAAAAUUAGAGAA